rnacentral:misc_RNA from 1 species
GAUGAAGAACGUAGCAAAAUGCGAUAAGUAAUGUGAAUUGCAGAAUUCAGUGAAUCAUCGAAUCUUUGAACGCACAUUGCGCCCGCCAGUAUUCUGGCGGGCAUGCCUGUUCGAGCGUCAUUUCAACCCUCAAGCACAGCUUGGUGUUGGGACUCGCGUUAAUUCGCGUUCCCCAAAUUGAUUGGCGGUCACGUCGAGCUUCCAUAGCGUAGUAGUAAAACCCUCGUUACUGGUAAUCGUCGCGGCCACGCCGUUAAACCCCAACUUCUGAAUGUUGACCUCGGAUCAGGUAGGAAUACCCGCUGAACUUAAGCAUAUCAAUAGGCGGAGGA